UACGUAGGGGGCUAGCGUUGUCCGGAAUCAUUGGGCGUAAAGAGCGUGUAGGCGGCCCGGUAAGUCCGCUGUAAAAGCCAAAGGCUCAACCUUUGAAUGUCAGUGGAUACUGCCGGGCUAGAGUCCGGAAGAGGCGAGUGGAACUCCUGGUGUAGCGGUGGAAUGCGCAGAUAUCAGGAAGAACACCAACGGCGAAGGCAGCUCGCUAGGACGGUACUGACGCUGAGACGCGAAAGCGUGGGGAGCGAACAGG
rnacentral:rRNA from 1 species